rnacentral:rRNA from 1 species
GAUCAUGGCUCAGGACGAACGCUGGCGGCGUGCCUAAUACAUGCAAGUAGAACGCUGAAGGAGAAGCUUGCUUCUCUGGAUGAGUUGCGAACGGGUGAGUAACGCGUAGGUAACCUGCCUGGUAGCGGGGGAUAACUAUUGGAAACGAUAGCUAAUACCGCAUAAUAGUAGAUGUUGCAUGACAUUUGCUUAAAAGGUGCAAUUGCAUCACUACCAGAUGGG